GACGAACGCUGGCGGCGUGCCUAACACAUGCAAGUCGAACGGAGUUGCUCCUUCGGGGGUAACUUAGUGGCGAACGGGUGAGUAACGCGUGAGAAACCUGCCUUUCAGUGGGGACAACAGUUGGAAACGACUGCUAAUACCGCAUAAUGUAUUCGGGGGGCAUCCCCUGGAUACCAAAGAUUUAUUGCUGAAAGAUGGUCUCGCGUCUGAUUAGCUAGUUGGUGAGGUAACGGCUCACCAAGGCGACGAUCAGUAGCCGGUCUGAGAGGAUGAACGGCCACAUUGGGACUGAGAUACGGCCCAG
rnacentral:rRNA from 1 species